AGCUUUUUAAAUCCGUGUCCAGAUUUUGUCUCACUCAAUCCCACCGGAGCUGACGAGACUUUUAAGAUCAGUGAAGUA
rnacentral:pre_miRNA from 1 species